CGUGAGGGAAAGGCGAAAAGAACCCCGGCGAGGGGAGUGAAAAAGAACCUGAAACCGUGUACGUACAAGCAGUGGGAGCCCCACCACUAAGCCAGUGGUGAACUCCACAUCCGCAUCCUUUGCUGAGGAUACGGUUAACGGAGCGAAAGCGACGUUCAACCGCAAAACAAGCAGAGGGGGCUUAGUGGUGGGGUGACUGCGUACCUUUUGUAUAAUGGGUCAGCGACUUAUAUUCUGUAGCAAGGUUAACCGAAUAGGGGAGCCGGAGGGAAACCGAGUCUUAAUUGGGCGUUAAGUUGCAGGGUAUAGACCCGAAACCCGGUGAUCUAGCCAUGGGCAGGUUGAAGGUUGGGUAACACUAACUGGAGGACCGAACCGACUAAUGUUGAAAAAUUAGCGGAUGACCUGUGGCUGGGGGUGAAAGGCCAAUCAAACCGGGAGAUAGCUGGUUCUCCCCGAAAGCUAUUUAGGUAGCGCCUCGUGAAUUCAUCUCCGGGGGUAGAGCACUGUUUCGGCUAGGGGGCCAUCCCGGCUUACCAACCCGAUGCAAACUGCGAAUACCGGAGAAUGUUAUCACGGGAGACACACGGCGGGUGCUAACGUCCGUCGUGAAGAGGGAAACAACCCAGACCGCCAGCUAAGGUCCCAAAGUCAUGGUUAAGUGGGAAACGAUGUGGGAAGGCCCAGACAGCCAGGAUGUUGGCUUAGAAGCAGCCAUCAUUUAAAGAAAGCGUAAUAGCUCACUGGUCGAGUCGGCCUGCGCGGAAGAUGUAACGGGGCUAAACCAUGCACCGAAGCUGCGGCAGCGAACGUAUCACCCAAGACAACUUUACGGAGUUGACGAUUGACGGAGCGAAGCGACGUCAAAGCGUUCAUUAAAGUCGAGUUGGCUUAGGGAUACGUUCGUUGGGUAGGGGAGCGUUCUGUAAGCCUGUGAAGGUGUGUCGUGAGGCAUGCUGGAGGUAUCAGAAGUGCGAAUGCUGACAUAAGUAACGAUAAAGCGGGUGAAAAGCCCGCUCGCCGGAAGACCAAGGGUUCCUGUCCAACGUUAAUCGGGGCAGGGUGAGUCGACCCCUAAGGCGAGGCCGAAAGGCGUAGUCGAUGGGAAACGGGUUAAUAUUCCCGUACUUGGUGUUACUGCGAAGGGGGGACGGAGAAGGCUAUGUUGGCCGGGCGACGGUUGUCCCGGUUUAAGCGUGUAGGUGUGUGUUCCAGGUAAAUCCGGUUCACUUUAACACUGAGGCGUGAUGACGAGGCACUACGGUGCUGAAGCAACAAAUGCCCUGCUUCCAGGA
rnacentral:rRNA from 1 species